rnacentral:rRNA from 1 species
GGUGAACGCUGGCGGCGUGCCUAAUACAUGCAAGUCGAGCGAACAGACGAGGAGCUUGCUCCUUUGACGUUAGCGGCGGACGGGUGAGUAACACGUGGGUAACCUACCUAUAAGACUGGGAUAACUUCGGGAAACCGGAGCUAAUACCGGAUAAUAUUUCGAACCGCAUGGUUCGAUAGUGAAAGAUGGCUUUGCUAUCACUUAUAGAUGGACCUGCGCCGUAUUAGCUAGUUGGUAAGGUAACGGCUUACCAAGGCAACGAUACGUAGCCGACCUGAGAGGGUGAUCGGCCACACUGGAACUGAGACACGGUCCAGACUCCUACGGGAGGCAGCAGUAGGGAAUCUUCCGCAAUGGGCGAAAGCCUGACGGAGCAACGCCGCGUGAGUGAUGAAGGUCUUCGGAUCGUAAAACUCUGUUAUUAGGGAAGAACAAACGUGUAAGUAACUGUGCACGUCUUGACGGUACCUAAUCAGAAAGCCACGGCUAACUACGU